AGGGCACCACCAGGAGUGGAGCCUGCGGCUUAAUUUGACUCAACACGGGAAAACUCACCCGGCCCGGACACCGUAAGGAUUGACGGACUGAGAGCUCUUUCUUAAUUCGGCGGGUGGUGGUGCAUGGCCGUUCUUAGUUGGUGGAGCGAUUUGUCUGGUUAAUUCCGAUAACGAACGAGACUCUGGCCUAUUAAAUAGUCGGUAUAUCCAGAAAAGUUUACCGUACUUCUUAGAGGGACAAACGGCGUCUAGCCGCGUGAAAUAGAGCAAUAACAGGUCUGUGAUGCCCUUAGAUGUCCGGGGCUGCACGCGCGCUACACUGAAAGAAUCAGUAUGCGCUUUAACCUAGUCCGGAAGGAUUGGGUAACCCGAGCAAAUUCUUUCGUGCUUGGGAUAGGGAAUUGCAAUUAUUUCCCUUAAACGAGGAAUUCCCAGUAAAUGCGGGUCAUAAGCUCGCGUUGAUUACGUCCCUGCCCUUUGUACACACCGCCCGUCGCUACUACCGAUUGGAUGACUUAG
rnacentral:rRNA from 1 species